GUUGUUCCUUUGCGACGCCUCUCUGCCCGCGCGUCUACGGAGCUGUCGCAAAGUGAGGGCGCCGGCCGCCAAGCGCGGAAGCCUGGCAGGGAAGAAGGCGGACCCGCGUGGCGCUGGCAGCAUGGGGGACGCGCUGGACGAGCCGUGGUGGGAGGCGGCGGCGGGGGAAGGCAGCGGCUCAGGUAAGAACAACUUUUGUUGUGAUCUUUGCUUCCAAAGAAAGUCUCCCGUGGUAAGGUAUUAAUCUAUUUUUCUGUCUUCCUUUAGUAAUGGUAUUAUUUUUCUCUGUAUUAAAGUGGAGGGAAAAAAAGGAAAAAAUAAUCCCUGUCUGAGUGCUGUACCUUUUUGAAUAUGCUGAUAGGGUUGCUGGAAGAGAACUUUAAAGCUUUGAAUGGGAAUUUGGGUUUUUACUUAAUAAUUUUCUAUAUGCAAGGUGACAGUACAAGCACACAAGCAAGUUGCUGACUAUCACCUGCAGUACUCUGAACAAGUUUGAAAUAGGUUUUUUUUAGCAAAGAAGUGCUUCAGAUUUUUUGUUCAAUAUCUGCAUGCCCUAAGGCCCUGCCCAGGUUUCUACCUGAGCUCAUGUAGUAGUAAUUUCUUUACCUACUUUACACCAAAAGAAUUUAAAGCUAGAUAACUAAAGGAACAUAUCAAGUAGCUAUGUUAAACAUGUACUGUAAGUUAAAUCAUGAUUCAAUGGAAUAAUUAACAAGGCUUGCAAUAGCAGGAUUCCAGAGCUGUUUUUUAAAACAUAAGUCUGGUAUGUCUAAAUGUACUGUCUAGUAAUGCUGCAGGGUCUGUACUGUACUGGGUUUUUCUCUCCACAGUCACUCGUAACUGUAGAUUUAGAAGCUUCCUGUUAAAAAGAUCUUUCAUUUAGCAGGCCUAGAGACAACUUCUGAUUACAAGAGAAUUGGUAUAUUGUGGAGAGUAAUGGAACUAUAAAUACGACUUCCUGUGCACUAGACAUGUUUGCCAGUUACUGGAAGCUUGAAAAAGGAGAUCUUGUCUGGCUACAAUUCACAAUCAACCUAUGGAAACGAGUUGAGAACAGCAAUCCAUUUCUUUCAUCGGGGACACUGUUGGUUCAUUUCAUUGCAGUUCUGCUUUUUUGUUCUUUUUCCUUUACGUGUACAGUUUUAAUUAAUCAGUGAGAGGCCCAGGCAUGAGGUAACGUUGGAAAUCAACAUUUUGAAUCCUGUGAUUCUUAAUAGAGAAUUAAUGGAAACAGAGGUACUGCUAUCUCCUCGGUCAAAACUUUGUGUCAUUUGGACGGUAUCUAAAGACAGGCUCUGGGCUGCUGUGUGCAUAAAUUCCUUUGGGAUUUGUGUGUUUUUGGAAGACCAAAAUUAAAACAAGAAAUAGUGUAAUUCAUACUGGGAAAUAAGACCUCCUAAUCUUUAAAAUUCACUGGCAUCUGUAUUGUCACAAUUUGAAGUGAGAAGGGCCCUCCACAGUCAUCUAGUCUGAUCCUUCCUAUUGCACAAGGCCAAAAUCUCUUGCUUAUUAUUGAAACAAAUUUUAUGUGGGUUAAUAAAGUCAGUGGAAGUUGCAUGAAUUUUAAUUUUCUCAAGGCUUAAAUAUGCUUUCUCAUUGCUGUUCCAUCUGAAAGGCAGUAAGUGAUGUUCUCAAGUAAACUGUGGAGUAUGAGAUGCUUUAUGCCAAGAAGCAGAGCUUGUAGCUUCCCAGAAAUGCGUGGAUGGCAUUCAUCCUCAGCCUAACUGCUCCCACACCACUGGUUUCCAGCUGGCGAGGGGGAAGAGGUGAGAAGCAAUGUGACAAGGAGAGGGGAGUAGAGAGGCAGUGAUACAGAUGGUAUGAGGGAGGAGGAGUAAGGAAAAGGUACAAAAAACCUGACAUCAGAGAGUCUGUGCGUCAGUGAAGUAAGAAAAAAUUGGCAUAUGAGAUAAAAGAUAUGAUCCUGCCAGGUGUUCACUAUCCAUUGGUUUGACCAUGUUCUUCUAAGACUAAACAGGCUUUGAAGAGAUUGAGGCCCUUAGGAAGUGGUUGUUAGUUUAUGUCAGGAAUGAGCAAAAUGCUUGUAUUCCAUCUCCUGCACACACUGUUGUACCCCUGCUCGUGCACUCUUUCUCUCUGUCUUGCUCAGUCCUUUCUUUCUUGUCAGUCUCUUUUAUUGGUUGAAGAUUUAUCACAUUUGAGUCUUGUUCUUGUUCUUGUUCUUGAGACGCAGAACAAAGCUUUACCAAUCAAGAGCGCUGCAUUAGUUUCCCCAUGUCACUACUCUCAGCUACACCCCUCCAUAGGCUAUUCCUACUUCUCUUGAAAACAUCAUGCAGUGUUUUGUACUCCUCAGAAGACCACAAACUCUAGCACUGUAGCACUUGCUUUGGACAGUAAAAAUGUAGAACAGGCAUUUUACAUCAGCAUACAGUUCAUGUAUGCAUAGCACACACGUGAAGCAAGCCCAAGCCAUAUGGAACGAUCUUGCGAUUUUCUUCUCACUCCUCUUUCCCUCCCUCUUUUUUUAAUGUUUUUUUUUUUUCUUUCUUUCUUUUAAAGACAGUAGUUUGGCAGCAGGGAGGAGAGAAGAAGAAUCAGGUCUGAAGAAACCAUUGGUCUCACUAAUUUGAGAAGACUUUUUGCUUUAGUUGCAAAGGAUGGAAGUCUUUAUGCCUAUGUCUUGCAUACUGGCAGCAUCAUUACUUUCUUUUAUCUGAAUUCUGUCCUGUGACAUAAAAGACCCGUGUUCCUAUAGAAGAACAAUCCAUUUCUUCUGAAGGUUUUCAUGAUCACAAGGCUCAUAAUCUGGGAAUGAAAUUGAAGUCCAGAUUAUUUAAUUUAAAAUAUAAACUUAACUGCAAAUAUUGUGUUGUUUUUCUUAUUUUUGUUUUGUUUUGCUUCUCCUGCCUUUGAUUUUCCUAUCCUUUCCAGCAUUUUACUCUUUAAAAACAAAACAAAAAAGAAGUAAAAAGGAGUUAAAUAUAGAUGUGGAUUACAUCACUUGGUCUGUAGUACUUAUAUUUGCUAGAAAGAUAGAAGUUUACUGCCAAAAUAUGACUCAAAGGAUCGAUAGCAAACAAUCUGUGCAAGUUUACACAAGAGAACUGAAGUAUUUCAUACCAUACGAAUUGUGCUUUAAAGGCACACAUUGCAAAAAUAGAUUCUUCUUUGGGAACGUUGCUUUUUAAAUUUUCACUGUUGCUUUCAGAAGUGUGUCCAAAUAGUUGUUAAGGGGAUUUUUUUUUCUGAGAAAUUUGUUGCUGCACACUGAGAACAUAGGGGAAUUCAGAUGACUGUGGCUUCAAAUGCUCGCAUUUAACAGAGGUCAGUCAUAAUAUUUCCAUCCACAUAAGCAGUGUUAAAUUUAAAAGAUCAUUUGUAAUUUACAAGCAUUUAAUUGUAACAAGGAAUUCAAAUAGGGAUCAGAAAGAUGUGUUCCCUGCUGCUCACAGUGGCUACGGCUGAGGAAAUUGCAUUUGCCAUGUCUUUAAAAGCAUUGCCAUGCCGUGCAUAUGAUGUUUAAUAUUGUUUGAUUAUUUUAAAAUCUUUUGGAGCGACUUAUCUAAAAUCCAUGUAAGUAAUGAAUAAUAGAAUUAUACCCUUUCCAUGUCUGCGCAUGGGUGACGUUAUAUAGAAGAAAAUUAUUUGGACAGAGUAACACUGAAAUAAUAGACACGUCUCUUCCUAUAUACUUUCUGUAUAGCCCUAUUUUGUUGACUCAAUCAUUUUGCUCUUCUGUCAUUGCCUUAACAGUUCCUCUAAUCCUUCUGAUGUUGAUCCAUUUAGCAUGUCAAGCGUCAGAAGGGAAACGAAGGGGAGCUCCCCACUCUUCUGCUUCUUUAAUCCAGGACUGAACAGAUAGAUACAAAUUUGGUAAGCUCGGGCCAGUGAAGAAUCUCAUCCCUUUUGCUUGCCUCUUGCUCUUAGUUAGUCUUUUUCUUUUGAUGUAACAUUAUCCACACAGUAAAUGAUUAAUUAAAGUCUCCUCAGUACUUCUAACAGUUUCAGAGGAGUCCUGACCAUGUGCUGAUUGUAAUGUCUGAUAGCAGUGGCGGGUUUUAGGCUUCAAAUGUUUGAGUAUGUCACAGCUUCCAUGUUUGAGAAGAAGCACAAAAUUUAGAAAACUGAGAGGAAUGGAGUAGAAAUUAUAGAAUUAAAAACUUGGGGUGAGAAGGAGAUGCUUUCAGCUUUGGGUUUGUUUCUGUGUGUCCCUUAAAUUUGGCACGCAUCUGUUGAGAUUGCUGGAACAACCUUCAUUAUUCUUAGCAGUUUACCCACCACAAAGUUUUGUUCUCCAUUUACAGAAGACUUGUCAAAAUGCUAUGACAACUAGCUGGUUUUAGACAAACAGAACCUGGCUCUAAAAAGACAGUAAGUCUGUAAGUCAAACAUGGAGGGCAGCCAUUGGCACUGGAAGAAGCAAGAAACCACAGAUUGUUUUCUCAUUGGAUGAAGAGCUUAAAGCAACGUAAAGUUAAUUGAAGAAUUCCUUGAAAGUGAAGUCAGACUGAAAUAAAAGCUUAGGGGUCUAUAAUUUACUAAAUGUGAAAGCUUUGUAAGCAGUAGUGAAGCUAAAAGUUUGAAAAGAACAUAUUUUAGUAAACAUAUCUGGCUUGUGUUACAGACUGUCCUGUUUUAAUUAUUUGUCCAAAUAAUGUAGAUUUUCAGUAGGAUCUCUAAUUAGGCACGGUUUGAUUUAUUGAGCUGGCCCCGUAUAAACCAUGAUGUCAUGCUGUACUGCUCGAAAUUACAGCUCUGCUCAUGCAGUUUCAAGAUGAUUAUUUUUAACUUUGGAAUGUUUCAGUUUUGUGCAUCUUGGCUUUUGGCUUUGUGAACUUAAGAUGUUCUCUGCUCCUCUCCUCCUCCCUCCCCCAGAUCAAAGCAUUUUGCUGCAAUGUAACACGAAUAAAAGCCAUUGAAAUGGACUUCUAAACACUCCUCUGUUUAAAUGCUGUUGGUAAAUAAGAAGGGAGGCAAGGAUACUCAUGCUUGCAUUAAGGGGGUUGAGAAAUAGGUACAGUCAGUACUGGACUGUGUGUUUUGCCAGGUGUCCAGAUGUUGAUGCCAUUCCAGAGCAGAAAAGCUUCAUUUCUGUCUUUAAAAGAUCUUAAUUUUCUUUCGAUGCUGCUAUUGAAGGCAAAGGGAGGGGGAAAAGGGGGAAUCUGCACUGCUUGUUCCUGCAGGUAAUAAGUACUUACUAGGAACAGAAACCCUUAGGCAUGUACAGUUUUACCCAUAUGUGUUGCAUUUUCUGCUUGUGUCCCUUUUGAACAGGAAAAUUUGCCUUUAGUUCAAACCACGUCCAUUCCAAAUGCAAAGGGAAGGCUUUUCACAGGAGAGUUUCUGAGCUUCUGUGUAGGGGAGGUCUCACAUCUGCAGAAGUGAGCAGCUCCUUGUCCUGCCAGCAUCCUGAUCUGGCACGGCGGGCUGCAGAGGAACAGAGGUCUGGGAGUGAGGUCAGGGUCUGGUCUGUCCUUCCAACCUCUUCUGGCACAGUGAAGAGACCAAGGUGUGGGGGGGGAGAAUUUCUGUGGAGUUGUCCAGGCAGCUCUUGUCUAGGAUAGAGCUUGUCAGCAAACCAGGAAGGGAAGGAGAGGGAAAGAGCUGAGGUGUCAUGCUUGGGCUGGAGACGCUUAAUUACCCGUAGCUGGCAUGGAAUGGAGCAGCAUUUGGGAGGCAGUAGCUGUGGCAGGGAAGGACAGCCUCCAUUUUCUCCUACAGCCAUAAGGAACAUUUCUGAGUGGGAGGGGAAGGUGAAAAUGUCUUCCUGUGGGUUUUAGUGGAGAGGCUUGGUGAGCUGCCCUUGGUGAUGACUGCAGCAUUUCAGGCUUGUGUAGGUGGAGAGUAAUGCAUUUCGAGUCAUCGCGAAGCUGUGCUUCUCAGGAGGAGCCUUCAUUACAUAAAAGCUAACUCUGUUUCUAUGCCUUUAAUUGUGUAUAUAAACUGGAUUGCAGCUUAAAAGACUCAUAAACAGCCAUGGGAUUUCUUGUUGGUUUUUUUUUUUUUUUUUUUUUUGAAGGUUAUUCGCAAUAAGUAUCACAUUUUUAAUAUAAUCAGUUGUUGCCUCACAUAUCAUUUCUAAAUGUGUAACUGCUUUUAGUUGUCCUGUAACUCGUCGCAGUGUAGCUAAUGAAGAUCGGAGAGAAGGCUCUCAAGAGGGGAAAGGGGAAAGGAGUUCAUGCUCUCUCUGUGCUUGGUGCCAGUGAAAGUAAAUGGGUGGAAAGUAUGUGCGAGUUUGCUAACCAAUGGUAUGUGUAGUGGAAAGAUUUGAUAUCUGAGCCCAGUUUUAAAAAAAAUACAUAUUCAUUUGCUUGUUUUGACCUGGCAAGGUUGCCAACUGAAAACAAAUUUAACCAUUUAGAAUAAGGUGGAAGCCUUAAUCCAUUGAGUAUUCAGCUCUCUAGUUUUCAGUAACGGGGUCCUAUAAUGUCCUAGUUAUAUCAUAACCUCUUCAGAAAUGGUAUGUAGUUCAAUAAUCAACAAGUUUCCCUUUCCUGUUGAUUGUAACCCUUUGAGAAGCUUUUCACAGUAGCUGAAAUCCAGUGAUAAGCAGACCACCUGUCUUGUUUAGUUUUGCUGAAAUGAAGCUAAGUAGUAGAUUUGAGAUGAUUUGAAGAUGAGCUGCUCGUGUUUUGUCUUGCCUUAACAACACAGGCAUGUCUUUUUUUCAUAUCAAUCACAAAAUCUUAAUAUAGUCUCUUUUGCAGAUAGUAAUUAGCAGAUAGUUGAAAUGGAUCUUGCUGUGAGAUUUCAGUGGACUGACCGAUUAUCAGACACUUGGUGUGAGUCUGUGUGCAUGCAUGCACAUGCACUGGCUUUGUCCUCAUUUUCUUUAAUGGAUCUGGCAAUAUGCUGGGUACCAAAACAGAAGCAGGCCUUGAGAAGCAUAUGACUGACAGCAGUUUAAUUCUUUUCUGUAUAAUAAAUGACUGAUGUAAGUUUAAUUAUAUUUUUUUCUGGCAGCUCUUACAUGACAUUUACUUGCUGAAACAGGUGUUGGAACUUACAAGAACAGUUUGCCUCUGAGAGACAAGUAUAACAGGUACAUCACCACAUCAGAGAUGUGGUAGAAGCCCUGUCCCUGGAGACACUCGAGGGCAACCUGAUCUAGCUGUGGGCAUCCCUGUUCAUUGCAGGGGAGCUGGACUAGAUGACCUUUAAAGGUCCCUUCAAACUCUAAGGAUUCUAUGAUUCAAGGCCAGGCUGGAUGUGGCUCUGGGCAGCCUAGUCUAGUGGUUGGCAACCCUGCACAUUGCAGCAGGUUGAAACUCAAUGAUCAUUGUGGUCCUUUUCAACCCAGGCCAUUCUGUGAUUCUAUGAUUCUAUGAUCACUGUUUAUCUUGUCAUUAAAACUGGACGUUUACCUGCAAGCAGUCUCACAACAGAGAGAAGCUACAGGUCAGAAAUUGCUCAGUGGGGAUCUGUAGCCUGCAGUAUAGGAUGAAGCGAUCGUACUUGCCAGAAAAGACAAGUAGGUUAUGAUGACUCUCAUGAGAAACUGAACAGGACGGUUGAGAGGAGCAUGCUUGCUGUGAGUCCUGGAUUUGCCAGGGGUCAUCAGAUGGACAGCAGUGGUAUUUUCCAGCUCACAGUACUUUCAGUAGCUUCCUUUUCCUUUUGCUCUUACAAUGUAAAGCUGUUUACUGUCAUGUAAAAAAGAAUUGCUUCAAUAACAUGUGCUUGAAUAUGUUUUCUUGAUAUCAGUGCCAAAAAUCAAGAGGAACAGCACUGCACAAAAAUGCUAGAACUGAGAGAGAUGGUUACAUCUGACUGCUGGGUCACUGCUCAGUAACUUGAGUGUGGUUAGCAGAGAAGCCACGAUGCCACAGGUCAGUGUGCAGGCUGUAUUAAACUUAACAAAAUAAGUGGCUGCUCAUUUCAAGGCAGAUUGCUGCAAUUGUUGGCAGAAAUUAAAAAUAGCACAGCUUUGAUCUUGGUGUUUUGCAAGACUGCUUCUGACCGAUGUAGUGGAAGGCUUGCUUUUCCUCAAAUAUAGCUGCAGUUCUACUUGAGUAAAACUUCAGCUGAUUCUUGGCUAUAUCUUGAAUUUAGGAGUCAAUACUAAGAUGAUUCACAUCCCUUAAUUAAACCUCCAGCAGCAUCCCGGGAGGCAAGUUUAGAGAGGAAGAAAUAGAGGUGACUAGCCUAAAGGAGCAGGGACACUGGAAAUUCCUAAAUUACUCAGGUUUCAUGUAAACGCCGUCCAAUUACAGCAUUGUCAUUUAGAGUAAUUAAUAAAUCUGUAUCUGUAGCGAAUACGAUUUACAUAAACCACAUCCAUUCACAAGAAAAGAACUGCUAUUAAAUUAAUUGAUAUGAAGAUCACACAUUAAUAAUAUGAUUAAACUGUCCAAGAACCAAGAAAGUCUGUCACUUCUUCAUAUCUGACUUUUCCUAAGCACUGAAGAACAGCCAUGUUGUAUCAGGCUGAUGUCCGUCAAGCUUUGUAUCUUGUCUCCAGCUGUGAGGAUCAAGGCAUACAGUCAUGCUCUCUUUGCUACAUCUUGCUGUUUUCAGUAACAUUCUGCUCAAAUUCUCUUCUGAAAUCUAUUUUCAGCUUUAAAUUUUGGUUUUGCUGAAAACUGUGCGUCUUUGUGGCAGCAAAUCCAUAGUGAGCUGCCUUUUCUUGUGAGCAGUAUGACUAAGCGCACCCAGGCCUCCCUCAGACAUGUUAUUAUCACCAUCUGCUAGUGGCUUCUUGUCAUCUCUACUUGCAUAUGAGACAUUUCUUUCACAGGAGGAUAAACUCAUCUGUCUGCCAUAGCCUAUAAUGCUUCAGAAAUGCAGUGAGACCAAGCAGUUUCUUCUUUGAUGUGUUUUGUAGAAGUAGUGGUUAUAGGAACUAUCAAGAGACACUUUAGUGUAGGGGUAUGAAGAGAACUAAGGGAGGCCCUUAUGAAAUGUGAAAGAGGUUAAGGUUACUAUGCUUCGUCUUUUCUUCCUGCAGCUCUGGAGCUGCCCCUGUGCUAGAAGUAGGCCUGUCAAUGAUGUGAGCAUCAAGUCACGUGCUGGCAAUGAAUGGAUUUUGCAUCAGUCAGAGGACAUCUGAUGCACAAUCUUUGAGAACACAGUUAAUGUACUUUUUCCUUUGUGUGUGUGUGUGUGUUUCUUUCAUGCAGAACAAGGUGAGAAGAAGAGCACAAACAAGAAUAAAAAGAGCCUUCUUUUACAUUUCAUCAUUCCAUUUUCUUAGCUUUUAUUCACCUGCUUGCUUGGUCUGAAAGAUAAGAAUCACUAUGAAAAGUGAUCCUGUAGAAGUAGUCUCUGGAUGUUUCUUUAGCAGACUAUGGAAAACCCGAGUAUACCUACUUUACGUAGAUGUUAAAGGCAGCACUGUGACUAGUAUGUUUCCCUCUUAUUUUCUACACAGUGGCUAAUCAUGCUAUCACUUUUUUUCUACCAUAUGCUUGUUGUAGCUCACGUAGCUCAUAGCAGUAAUUAAUUACUGGCAGUAAUGCUGGCCAGCGUAUGCUAUAAAACAGGGUUUGCUUUUAUCAAUAAAUUAUCAUAUGCUUACAGUUUGAGCCUCGAUUAGCAUUAAAGCUGUUGUUGUCC
rnacentral:lncRNA from 1 species